CUUACAAGCCCCUUAUGGCAGCGACACCAAAUGGCUCCCCCCAGGUGUAGUCUUCACACCUAGCUGUGAUAUCUCUGCAGAAAGGGAAGUUCUUUUGUGUAGGGUCAACCUAAGGAAACCAGCUGUAAUUGCGUUAUCUGCUGGGCAUCUAUUGACUGACUUGAACAAAAGGACUAUGUUGAUCUCUGGGU